GAUGAACGCUGGCGGCGUGCCUAAUACAUGCAAGUCGAGCGAACAGACGAGGAGCUUGCUCCUCUGGCGUUAGCGGCGGACGGGUGAGUAACACGUGGGGAACCUACCUAUAAGACUGGGAUAACUUCGGGAAACGGGAGCUAAUACCGGAUAAUAUAUUUAACCACAUGGUUCAAGAGUGAAAGACGCUUUUGCAUUAACUUAUAGAGGUAUCCGGGCCGCAUAACCUAGUUGGUAAGGUAACGGCUUACCAGGGCAACGAUGCGUAGCGGACCGGAGAGGGUGAUCGGCCACACUGGAACUGGGACACGGCCCAGCCUCCUACGGGAGGAAGAAGUAGGGAAUCUUCGGCAAUGGGCGAAGGCCUGCCGGAGAAACGCCGCGUGAGGGAUGAAGGUCUUCGGAUCGUAAACCUCUGUUAUUAGGAAAGAACAAAUGUGUAAGUAACUAUGCACGUAUUGACGGUACCUAAUCAGAAAGCCACGGCUAACUACGUG
rnacentral:rRNA from 1 species